CUACAUUUUUAAGGUUGCAUGCUCGUUAGAUAAGAAGUGUCUUCCUGAAAUUGGAAGGGAACUUGACGAUACUGUUCAUCUUGUAAAAAAAAGUUCGGACCAAAAGGUCGUAACUUAAAAUUGGAACUUCGUUUUAGAACUUCAACCUGAGCCCUAGUUUUUCUUCUUCUCUUCUCUUCUCUUCUCUUCGUUCCAAUCUUCCCGCUGAGCACCCCUCUCUUCGCAGCACGACCCCUCUCUUCUGUUCUUCGUGUUCAGCCGCUGAGCCACCCCUCUCUUCGUAGCACGCCACUAUCUCAGGCAGACUCCUCUCUUCACAGCCUUCGCUAGGGUUUACUCAGCUGUUAUUGAGCUCUGAUCCUUGCUAUUGAUCUUGAGAUCAAAGGAUUUCAGUGAAGACUCCUUUGAUGAAUGGGCAGUUAAAGCUGAGGCACCUGUCUUACCUUAUAGCUUAAAGCUGUAUAAUGAACUCAAGAAACUUGGGUUCUGAUUCAUCUUGUUAACAGGAAGGGAUGAAAGUCAGAGGAACUUGAUGCAGAGAAUUUGAUUGCAGCUGGUUAUGAUUCAUGGGAGAGGCUUAUUUUGAGGACCCCAUAUUCGAGAGGCAUUCAAUCUUUCACCCGGAGGAACAAAGAGGAGAGCAUAUUGUCGCAGGAGCAAUCUCUACUUGCUAUUCUGACCCCAACUCCUGUUAAUUGACAUAUCCAAUGACCCUUUGCCUCCCCCUCUUCAAACCAUGCAUCCGACUUCUCCACCAAACCCUCUCUCUCUCUGCUCUUCCUCUCCCCUUUCUCUCUCAUCUCACCAAAGACCAUCCCACCCAUUCUCUCUCUACUAUCACUUGGCUUAGCCAAGAACACACCACCCAUAUUUCCAGCUGCAACUCCAAAAUCAAGGCUUUUGGGCGAGCAGGAAAACCAGAAGAAGCUCGCCUUUUAUUCGACAAAAUGUCUCAAAGAGACUCAGUAACUUGGAAUUCCAUGAUCACCUGCUACUGUCAAAAUGGGAUUCUGGACCAAGCCCGUCUCCUCUUCGAUGCCAUGCCCAAAAGAAAUGUGGUAUCAUGGAAUACCAUGAUGACUGGUUAUUCUCAGAAUCAGAUGUUGGAGGAAGCUCGUCGUUUGUUCGAUAAAAUGCCUAAUAAAAACUUGGUUUCUUGGAAUGCCAUAGUUACUGCUUACUGUAACUUGGGAUUGAUAAAAGAGGCAACAGAAUUGUUUGAUUUGAUGCCAGAAAGGAAUUGGGUUUCUUGGGUUGUGUUGAUUUCUGGAUAUUUACAGGUCGAUGAAUUUGCAAGGGCUUUGUUGGUCUUCUUACAAAUGAGAAGAGCUGGGAUUUUGGUGAGCCAGUCUGGUAUUUCCAUGGCUAUAACGGCUAGUUCUAGUUUGGACAACAUGUACCUGGUUCAAAAUUUGCAUAAUUUGGCAAUUAAAACUGGAUUUGUGAGAGAUGUUAAAGUGGGUACCUCAAUUUUGAAUGCUUAUGCGAAGCUUGGAGAGCUAAACUCUGCAAGUUUGUUCUUCGAAAGCAUGCCUGUGAUAAAUGGGUUUUCUAGGACCACCAUGAUCAAAGCUUAUGCAGGAAAUGGAAGGCUAGAUGAGGCUUGUAAAAUUUAUGAAAAUGCGUCUGAAAAGACCCUUUCAACACAUACAGCCAUGAUCACUGGAUUUGCUCAAAAUGGAAGAAUUCUUGAAGCUAGAGAAGUCUUUAAUGGGAUUCUAAAACCAGAUGUGGUUUCAUGGACUGCAAUGGUUGCUGGUUAUGCUCAAAAUAGUAUGCUUGAAGAAGCUAGAGCAUUGUUUGAUAAGAUGCUAGACAAAAACAGUGUUACUUGGGCUACCAUGGUUUCUGGUUAUGCCCAACAUGAGAAAUGGGAACAAGCUUUAAUGGUGUUUUCUGAGCUUCACAGAGAAGGCAUAUUGCCCAGGCAUUGGACUUAUACCACUGCCAUUAAUGCUUGUGCUAAUAGUGGAAGAUUAGAAUUGGGGAAGCAGAUACACUCCCUCUCUAUCAAAACUGGAUGCCAAUUUAAUCCCUUUGUCUCUAAUGGCCUAAUCACCAUGUAUGCAAAGUGCAAACACAUAGAAGAUGCUUCAUGGCAAUUUAGCUCGAUUACGAUCAAAGAUAAACUUCAAUGGAGCUCUUUGGUUUCGGAGUUUUCUCAGAACCAUGCUCUUGAAGAAGCUCGCCACGUCUUCGACAAGAUGGGGAUUCAUGAUAUCAUCUCAUGGACAUCCAUGAUCUCUGUAUACAUUCAAGCUGGUCAUUCAUGUGAAGCCAUUGAAUUGUUUACCACCAUGUUAGAUGAAGGCCUCAAACCAAACCCAUAUACCAUAACUAGCAUUCUAUGCAUUUGUGCAGAUUUAGGGGUAAUUGAGCUUGGAAAACAAAUACAUGGCAUGGCCAUAAGGCUCUGGCUAGACAAUGAUGUUUAUGUCUCAAGUGCCAUGAUGUCCAUGUAUUUCAAAUGUGAUAGCACAGCCAAUGCCUUUCGACUGCUUAACUUGAUGCAUCACCGUGAUCUAAUCACAUGGAACAUGUUAUUGGAUGGAUGCGCACGUCAUGGACUCGGCAUGGAGGCGGUUCAAGCCUAUGAGGAAAUGAUAGCAGAGGGGGUGGCCCCUGACCAUAGCACAUUCAUGGGGUUGCUAUGUGCUUGUAGCCAUGAAUGUAUGAUUGAGGAAGGGCGCCGUUACUUUGAUUCUAUGAGCAAAGACCAUGGACUAAUGCCGCAUGAUGGCCAUUAUGCAUGCAUGGUUGGGCUUUUGGGGCAAUUUGGGCUGCUCUCUGAGGCUGAAAAGUUCAUAAGGAACAUGCCCAUUGAGCCUGAUUUAGAGGUCUGGGAGGCUUUGCUUUGGGGUUGUAAAGCUCACCUUGAUGUCCAAUUGGGCAAUAGAGUUGCAGAGCUGUUGUUUCGUUUUGAACCCGAUAGGCUAGAACCUUACAUUUUGUUGUUGAAUAUUUACAUGGAUUUAGGCAUGUGGACAGAGGUUGAAGAGCUGAGAAAAAUGAUGAAGGAACAGGGAGCAAUGAGAGAGAGUGGUUGUUGUAGUUGGAUUCAUGUGAAGAAUAGGGUUCAUUGGUUUUUUACAGGGGAUGAGAGACAUGAAGAGAGAGAAGAGACUUAUUGGAGGCUUGGAGAAUUAUAUGAGCAUUUGAGAUCUUGUGAUUAUAUGCUCGAAACUGAGUUUGUUAUGGAUGGCUUGGAGGAGGAGGACUUCAUCGAUGAGAGGCUUCCUUGGCUUCUGGCCACUACUAUUGACCUUGCUGGAGGGGCCAUACAAUGUGGACAGAGACUGUAGUUUCUUUCGAGGUUCCUAAAGGUCACAUUUGGCAACGGGAAGGCUAGGAUUCUUUAGAAUCUUUAAGUUCUGGUUCCUUGGAAGUCAGAAUCAUUGAUAUCUAGAAGUUCUGAAACACUUGUUUUAUAACCUGGAAGUUCUAGAAAAUAUGGAAGCCUGUGUAACUUUCGACUCUUUAAACAUUCAAUGAAGGUUUCACCAUUAGAGAGAGUAAUGCUUGUGGUUGAAGACGCUUGAAGAAGGCCAAAGUUCAUGGGGAAGACUGGGGGGAGCUCAACAAGAGAGAAGAAAGAGCAAUGGCGAGGAGAUAGACGACAAAGCGUCUUGGGAGAGUGAAAAAAAGGCGAAAGUAAACUUUGUAAAACAAAAAAAGAAGAUAAGCUGCAGGUCCUUCAAUUUUAAAGUGGUGAUAUUGCAGGUUGGAGAAAGAAGAGAGAGCUUUCCAUUUUAGAGGGAGAAAGGGAUUUUCUCCCACUUCAAUUUCAGGGGAGGAGAGAGUUUUCAUUUUCAGGAGAGCGAACCAAGGGGUUUUCGAUUUUAGUGAGAGUAGGAGAUUGUCUCCCAAUUCAAUUUCAAGGACCCAGGACAGGGGGAUUUCCAUUUUAGAGAGAAAGGGAUCAAGAGAUGAAUGUGCUUGUUGAGUGGUUGCUUAUGGAAUUCAAUAGGGAAAUGUGCUUGUUGUGGUUUAUAUUUUUGCUUUCAUUUUUAUUUUUCUGAGUUAUUAGGUGAUUGUUGACGAUAUUCUAAUUGCAAUAGUUUUAGUCUAGCUAAGACUGUGUACACUUGGUCUUUAGAGUCAAAGAAGCUUGGCUUGGUCAUGGAUUAUGCAUUGAUAUAAGUACUGUAUUAAUCUUGGAGAUUACUUCUGAUUAUUCUCUUAUUAGGCUUGUAAUUUUAGUUUUUAUGUUGAAUUGAGCUUCUUUUCGUA